ACUGCGAGUGAAGCGGGAAAAGCUCAAAUUUGAAAUCUGGCGGUCUUUGGCCGUCCGAGUUGUAGUCUGGAGAAGCGCUUUCCGCGCCGGACCGUGUACAAGUCCUCUGGAACGGGGCGUCGUAGAGGGUGAGAAUCCCGUCUUUGACACGGACAGCCGGUGCUAUGCGAUGCGCUCUCGAAGAGUCGAGUUGUUUGGGAAUGCAGCUCAAAACGGGUGGUGAAUUCCAUCUAAAGCUAAAUAUUGGCGAGAGACCGAUAGCGAACAAGUACCGUGAGGGAAAGAUGAAAAGCACUUUGGAAAGAGAGUUAAACAGUACGUGAAAUUGUUGAAAGGGAAACGCUUGAAGUCAGUCGCGUCGUCCGGGAUUCAGCCUUGCGAUUCGUCGCUCGGUGUACUUUUCCGGUUCGACGGGCCAGCAUCGAUUUCGAUCGUCGGACAAAGGCGGGGGAAACGUGGCACCCUUCGGGGUGUGUUAUAGUCCCUCGUCGGUAUACGGUGGUCGGGAUCGAGGAACUCGGCACGCCCUUCGGGGUCGGGGCUUCGGCCCACGUCUCGUGCUUAGGAUGCUGGCGUAAUGGCUUUAAACGACCCGUCUUGAAACACGGACCAAGGAGUCUAACAUGCCCGCGAGUGUUCGGGUGCAAAACCCGUGCGCGUAAUGAAAGUGAAAGUUGGGACCUUCGAGAGGAGGGCACCGACGCCCGGACCAGACCUUCUGCGACGGAUCCGCGGUCGAGCGUGUAUGUUGGGACCCGAAAGAUGGUGAACUAUGCCUGAAUAGGGUGAAGCCAGAGGAAACUCU
rnacentral:rRNA from 1 species